rnacentral:tRNA from 1 species
GUUAUUAUAGCUUACCUUAAAGCGUAGCACUGAAAAUGCUAAGACGGCACAGCCUGAUCUAACA